UAUGCCAUAAUAUUCAAGGUAAAUUUGGACCUUUUCCCUGAAGAAAAACAAGAGACGCCCAACCAAGCAAGUUUUCCGGGCUCCAACUGUACAAGGCAAAUAUCUGUCUCCGUCAAUCUCUCCGGCGGAGAAGAGAAGCUUCUGUAAUAAUGAACCCCCAAAUCUAGCUAGUUUCGACCUACAUUCUCCCUCAUCUUUUCGUAACCCAAAUAAUUUUGUACUGAACUCAUCAACAACUAGUAUUAAAAUGGAUCGGGCGAGAACAGCAAGUCCGAGGCAGUUAAGGAAAUGGAGCAGCGAAUCCGGAGCAGCUCCGACUCUGACUUCCGGGUCUUCAUCACCUGGACGUCCACAUCAUCAUAGCCGGUCUUCCUCAGUCUCCGGCGGCAUGAUGUCCAACAUUAAGCGCACUCAGAAUGUUGCUGCAAAAGCUGCUGCCCAGCGCCUCGCUCAAGUCAUGGCCUCACAAGCUGCUUCUGCUGGUAAUGACGACGACGAUGAUGAUAAUGAUGAUCUUGGAUUCCGAUUUGCACCUCCCUCUUUUUCCCGGUCCAACGGCACUAGUGCUACCGGCAACACUAAUGCUACCAACAACACUAAUGCUGCGGCUAUUCAGUCCGCGAAGCUCAAUAAUAAUAGAUCAUCUUCCCCUCUGCUAGCUAGGAAUUUUGUCGAGGAAGCCCCGUCGUCUCUUCGUUCAACAUCAGCAGGAAGAGCAAAUGUGCCAACUCGUCCUCCACCAUCAAUACCAAGUACCCGACAGCCUGUGAAGACUCCUUUACCUAUAACCCCAAUCGAGCCUCCAACCAACAAGCUGAGAGAGAAAAGAUUCUCGCCAGAUUUAAGACAAUUUAACUUGAAAGAUACAGUAGAUAACCGUGCAGCUUCUGCGCUUCAUGAUGAACUUGAUAUGCUACAAGAAGAAAAUGAAAAUCUGCUUGGAAAGCUUAGAGGUGCUGAAAUGAGUUACGAUGAAGCAGAAGCUAGAGUGAAGGAGCUUGAGAAACAGGUUGCAGCACUUGGAGAAGGAGCAUCUUUAGAAGCAAAGUUGUUAAGCAGGAAGGAAGCCUCUUUGCGCCAAAGGGAGGCUGCACUGAAAGACGCAAAACAAGCCAAGAAUGGGAUAGAUGUGGAACUUGCAAACCUCUGUUCUAAUGUCCAGAAAGCAAAAGAUGACGCAGCUGCUGCUGUAUAUCAACUUCAAGUGGCUGAAUCUGAGGUUAAAACUCUACGCUCUAUGACACAAAGGAUGGUUUUAACCCAGAAUGAGAUGGAAGAUGUUGUUCUUAAAAGAUGCUGGCUUGCACGUUAUUGGGGUUUAGCAGCUCAGUUUGGUAUUUGUUCAGAUAUUGCUGCUUCAAAACACGAGUACUGGUCAUCCUUCGCACCUCUUCCUUUUGAAUUGGUUAUCUCUGCUGGACAAAAGGCAAAGGAAGAAUUUUUGGAAAAAGGUUAUGACAAUCCAGAGAGGGGUAAUCUUGUUCAGGAUUUGAAUGAUCUCACUGGAGAAGGAAAUAUAGAAAGCAUGCUUUCUGUUGAAAUGGGCUUGAAUGAACUUGUUUCCUUGAAGGUUGAGGAUGCCAUAGUGCUUGCACUGGCUCAGCAACGACGUCCAAACUCCACUCGAACAUCAAUUUCAGACAUCAAAUCACCAAUUGAUCCGAAGUAUAUGGAGGCAUUUGAACUCAGCCCUGAGGAGUCUGAAGAUGUCCUUUUCAAGGAGGCAUGGCUAACUUACUUUUGGAGGAGAGCCAAAGCCCAUGGUAUACAGGAGGAUAAAGCCAAUAAAAGACUUCAAUUUUGGAGUAGUCGCAGCGGGCACGCACCAACUUCUCAUGAUGCUGUUGAUGGUGGGUUUUAAAUUAAAGUAAGGCAGGUCUCUUCAAGUCAUUGUAGGCUUGCCAACGUGUAUCUCCAAAAUGUGCUGCACUCGUAUUGGAUCCUUAAAAAAUGCACAACUUUUGGAGGAUCCGACACAUACCCAACGAUAUUUCGGAGAGUCAGAGAAACAUAUGAGUUGAGCAAGGCCUGAUGGAGCUAAGGAAAUUGGGCAUUGAACAAAAACUAUGGGAAUCAUCUCGGAGAUAAAUUGGGCAUUGGUUGAGAUUCUCCUGUUACUGGAGAGAAAACUUCCCUGCAGUCUAAUAUUACUGCCCGCUCUCUAUUUUACCCACUGCAUACAAGAGUCUCUUACUCUCCUUUUCCACUUACAACAGUAUUCUUCUCAAGAGUCAUGUAAUACAAAGUCCCAAUCUUUUCUUUUUAGACCCAACAGGAAGGGAAGGGGUCUAGUUAAGGUUACACAGGUUUUUGUUUAGUACAAACAUGAGUAUCUUGAGGAUGACCGUACAUAAAUUCUGAAGUGAACUGUAUUUAGAAAGGAGGAUUUGGCUAUGCUUGUUGUUCUGAGAUUGAUUUGCUUAGUUCCAAGUCUCGGGAUUUAGAUACUGUCACUACUAUAGUGACUUCAUAUUAUAAUUAAUAUCCACUAUUUUUGUUUAUGAUA